rnacentral:rRNA from 1 species
GAUGAACGCUGGCGGCGUGCCUAAUACAUGCAAGUCGAGCGAACAGACGAGGAGCUUGCUCCUCUGACGUUAGCGGCGGACGGGUGAGUAACACGUGGAUAACCUACCUAUAAGACUGGGAUAACUUCGGGAAACCGGAGCUAAUACCGGAUAAUAUAUUGAACCGCAUGGUUCAAUAGUGAAAGACGGUUUUGCUGUCACUUAUAGAUGGAUCCGCGCCGCAUUAGCUAGUCGGUAAGGUAACGGCUUACCAAGGCAACGAUGCGUAGCCGACCUGGGAGGGUGAUCGGCCACACUGGAACUGAGACACGGUCCAGACUCCUACGGGAGGCAGCAGUAGGGAAUCUUCCGCGAUGGGCGAAAGCUUGACGGAGCAACGCCGCGUGAGUGAUGAAGGUCUUCGGAUCGUAAAACUCUGUUAUUAGGGAAGAACAAAUGUGUAAGUAACUAUGCACGUCUUGACGGUACCUAAUCAGAAAGCCACGGCUAACUACGUG